AUUGAACGCUGGCGGCAGGCUUAACACAUGCAAGUCGAGCGGAGAGAGGUAGCUUGCUACUGAUCUUAGCGGCGGACGGGUGAGUAAUGCUUAGGAAUCUGCCUAUUAGUGGGGGACAACACUUCGAAAGGAAUGCUAAUACCGCAUACGUCCUACGGGAGAAAGCAGGGGAUCUUCGGACCUUGCGCUAAUAGAUGAGCCUAAGUCGGAUUAGCUAGUUGGUGGGGUAAAGGCCUACCAAGGCGACGAUCUGUAGCGGGUCUGAGAGGAUGAUCCGCCACACUGGGACUGAGACACGGCCCAGACUCCUACGGGAGGCAGCAGUGGGGAAUAUUGGACAAUGGGGGGAACCCUGAUCCAGCCAUGCCGCGUGUGUGAAGAAGGCCUUAUGGUUGUAAAGCACUUUAAGCGAGGAGGAGGCUACUUUAGUUAAUACCUAGAGAUAGUGGACGUUACUCGCAGAAUAAGCACCGGCUAACUCUGUGCCAGCCGCCGCCGUAA
rnacentral:rRNA from 1 species